rnacentral:rRNA from 1 species
UGCCAGCAGCCGCGGUAACAAGGGGGGCGCAAGCGUUAUUCGGAAUCACUGGGCUUAAAGGGCGCGUAGGCGGCUAAUCAAGUCAGGGGUGAAAUCCUUCGGCUCAACCGGAGAAGUGCCUUUGAUACUGAUUGGCUAGAGGGAGGUAGGGGCAGAUGGAACUGGUGGUGGAGCGGUGAAAUGUGUUGAUAUCACUAGGAACGCCGGUGGCGAAAGCGAUCUGCUGGACCUCUUCUGACGCUGAGGCGCGAAAGCUAGGGUAGCAAACGGGAUUAGAUA